rnacentral:lncRNA from 1 species
GGUUACUCUGACCUCGGCACGCAGGCUUCGGCCGGACCCACUCGUAUAAAUACAAGCCGAUUGUGGGGUUAGCUCUUCACAGCCUGCUUGGGCGUAAUCAGUACUACGACCUCCGCAGGAUCCUGCUGCAGGAAGCUCACGGAAGCGGACCUCAUGCGGAGGGUUCUUCAUGCACCAAUUCCAGCUAAAAGUGCCCCACGGCAGGCUGCGGGGCGGAGCCUGGUGAACGGAGAGGAUUCCGGGGAUCUGGAGAGAAACGGACGCCCGGACAGAAGCCUGCAACUCUGAAGGACCGAACAGCGCCGCCUUGAGGCACGAGCGGGAAAUGAACUUCCGUUGUGUCCGCCACCCGUAUUUGACGUUUCUACUGCAGAGGCCGGCACCCUGUGAUCAGCAGGGGAAAGUCCUUAAAGACAGCACUUCGCCAAGCAGUACCCUGCGUUUAACUCACGGAGACACUCAGGAGAACCCCUCCCUCGCCCUGACUCAGGUACACGACCACCUCGCCUCCCCUCGUCAGGGUCUACACCUCCGUCUCGAGUCUGUGCUAAGCAGACAUCUGAGGAGACUUCAGGUCUCCAGGUUCCUGAAGUUCCUAGAACAGUGGGCAGUGGAGGAAGCACAGAGGAGCCUGGUUAAUCCGGGAUGUGGAGAUGUAUUUUAAUCAACGACAGCAGCCUCAGCCUAGGAUAUUUCUUUUGGAUGUUAGAACAACGAGUCUGGUUUUCAAAUCUCUGCUCAGGAAAGCACUGUGACAAGCCCAACAGCUUCCUGGGCCAGCGUCCUUUUCCCCUCCUUCUCUCUGCUUCGCCUUCUCCCU